rnacentral:rRNA from 1 species
CAACCUACCGUAUACAGGGGGAUAACUUUUUUUAAAAGGUGCUAAUACCGCAUAAGCGCACAGCAGUGCAUACUGGAGUGUGAAAAGCCGAGACGGUAUACGAUGGGCCCGCGUCUGAUUAGCCAGUUGGCAGGGUAACGGCCUACCAAAGCGACUAUCAGUAGUCGGCCUGAGAGGGCGGACGGUCACAUUGGGACUG